CAGAGUAGGGUAUCCUGCGUGAAGUGCUGCCAAAAUGGGGAGUUGUCUGGCAGACGAAGGACGCUGUCCGCGAUGGGAGACCCGCACCCGCUGC
rnacentral:ncRNA from 1 species